UGUGUCAAAUAAGGUGAGCAGACUUGUUCUAUGCUUCUAAUUAUAGUGAGAUUUUCAUCUCCCUGAGCUUGCUGCUUUUGUGUUGUUCAAAUGAAAGACACGAAAUAAAGGCAUAAAUGAGAGCUGGUCACCUAAGUGGGUCAACCCAGACUUACUCCAGACUCUCCUACUUUGUUUUAAACUCCUUUAUAAAGAGUUGUUAGCUUUUAUCCUUCAUUGUGACACACUAAGACACAGUAGCCACUUCCUCCCUCUCUUCAGGAAGAAAAGUUUUCAGCCUGGUUGGUGCUGACCAACCAUAUUUGAGACACUCUUUUUACCUUUUUCUGAAGUUCACAUGACAAAUGAUUUUCCAUGCCAAAAGCUUCCUUAAAUUUAGAGUAAGGUUAGUCCUAUAGGUGAUGGCUGAUGCACCCUUGGGGCAUAUCAAGGAGGCCAGCCUUGGGCACUCAGAGGAGGAGCUUGACAGUUGAACAUAGGAGAUAAACUAAGUCAGGGUGAUCAUCAUCUCUACUUCCACACACACAGAAACUCUUACCUCACCUUUUAGCAAAGGCCUUGGGUAAAGCAAUAAGCAUCUGUCAAGUAAAUCCUUCAUUUGUUCACCAAAUAUUUACUGAGCUCCUACUAAAAUCAAGCAUUGUGCUAAAUUUAGGGUAGAACACAAACACCCAGCCUACUUCCAAAGAAAUAACAUGCAACUGGGUGAUAAGACAAGUAAAUAAUUCAUUUUAGUGUAAGGAAAGAGUUGGGACCAGUACCAGUUGGGUAUAGGUGCUCUGAUAGUGUGCAAGAGAGGACCCUGCCUGUGGAGACCUUUAUGAACCUCAGGACAUGUUCAAAUGGAAGCUCAACCAGUGCUGAGAGCUGAAGUAAGAAGGUGAAGUCUCUUGGACGAUAAUGGCAUCUGCAAGCACUGAAGAGGAAUGACUGGGAGCAUGGCCCACUAAGAGGAGAUGGGAAAACAUGAAAUGCAAGAGGUUAACUGGCUCUUAAUCCAAGCUCACACCACUGCUUAAAGGAAGUAGAGGAAACACAAAACAACAUGAUGGAUAUUUCUGGAUAACAAGACGUCACAUUUAUCUGAUAUGGCUGUUCUGAACCAAGGGACCAAGGACCUUCACUUUUUCCCUACAGCAUGCUUUGGGGAGUUCAGGAACAUUGAAACUUGGGAUGUGGGAGGCUGCUGCUUUGCAAAUAGAGUGGAUAAUAAAGUUUCCCAGAUCUGGUAUUAAAGAAUGAUUUAGUUGGAAGUACAUACAUUUAAGAUUUUUAAUUAGAAGUUUGGGAUAUGCCUGGUUCCAAGUAAAGGUGUGGGUGGAGGGCGCAUAUCCUGUGCACUUCAGCCUAUGAUAUUCUCUCAAUUCCACAAGGACUAUCCUAUCAUUCUCAGCCCUCAUCUCUGUCAGCUAACACAGUCCACUCACACAAAUAUCAUGUCCAUUCAUCCAUACCCUGUUUUUUACCAUAAGCAUAAGAACCUCAAAUUGGAAAAACCCAACCAGCUUCAUGUCAAUUUGAAACUGAUGAGAACAUAAUCUACCUGGAUGAUGAAGAAUUAAUUCUCUGGUUUUGCAGAGAGGGAGAUUCAGAGACCACCUUGUCUCGAGUUGUUGUGGAAGAUGUAACAAAAAUUUUUAAUUGAUAUUCUCCCAUACUUGUCAGCAUGAAAACAAAAAUCUUGUUUGGUAAGAUGAAAAUUAACCACAUGUUUUGAAAAUCUACCCUUAGACAUUCCCACACCCCACACCAUUCAAUCUCAAGGAUGUUUAUGGCCUCCUCCUUGAACUUUCAGAGGUCUUAAUUUUUAUCAUGAUUGCAGUAUUCUUUACAGUAUUUUAUAAUUAUCUAUCCUGUAGCUAUUCCGCUUACUCUUAAUUUAUUCAUUUAACAUAGGAACCAGGUUUUCUUGUUUGUUUUAUUUCUGUAUCAUCACCAUUUAGUGUGGUUCCAAAAUAUGCUUGACACUAAAGAAAGCCCAAAUGAAUGAAUUUACAAAAGAUUUUUUUUAUAUAAAAACAUAUUCCAAAUGUGUGUGUAUAUGUAGAAAAUAAUGUGUGUUGUAUUGCAAUGAACUUUCUCAUUCAUUUGUCCCUGGGAAACACAUAUAGCUUCUCAUACCCAAGAGAGAGUAGUCAGGUACAGUGCCUCAAGUGGGGCUAUUUGCACAAGGAUGGGUAAUUUUUUUAAAAGUAGGCAAUUUUAAGAGAUGGGUUUGGAGCAUAUUGGUCAGUCACAGAUAUAGAAGCAACUUCCAAGGCAAAAAGAAAAGAGAAAAAAUAUAUUUUAGAGUUUUCAUUUCUAUAGGAGACAAAACACUUUUAAGUUGAAGACAGGUUCUUCUCCUUUUGCAAUAUAAUGAGUAGAAGAUAUUGUCACCUUCUUUGAUUUGAAGGGUGUAACAUUGGAUUAUACAAGUACCUAAAGAUGCCAGGCAUAUGCUGGAGUUUAACAAAUAAUAAAAAUUUGAGAAAUUAUUUUCAAUACUUUUCAAAUAGUACACUGCAGGAAGAGGUUCCUCCCAGAUAUAUUUGACUUGUGGUAUUUUACCUGUAUAUCAUUGAGGACUCUGAGAGUGGAGAGAGAUUUCUGCUUCUCUGAAUCUUGGUCAAGGAUAUAUGUCUGAAGUUUUUUUCAUUAUUGCUUUGUUACUUAACCUUCUCCUUGAUGCAUUCUAGGAGAAUGCUAGAUUGUGUGGAUUUUAACAGCCUAAAGCUCUGCAAAGUGGAGGUGAUUAUCAGAAUUUUAAAAGCUGUGACAUUUUGCUGCCAAAAAGUAAUUGAUUUAUUAGAGACAUUACAAUAUAUGCAUGAUUCAACAUAAGAGGUUCCUUUGAACUUGUUCAGUACCAAAUCCUCUGGGAGACUAUUUGCUUUCAGUAACAUGGACAGAAACUCUCUUUCAUUCAGAUUCAGUUGGCCUUAUACAAGUAAAUAUUAUAGCUCAGCAGUAGCACUCCAAUCCAGUGGCCACAGUAGGAUCCAAUUUAAUGGUUACAACAAUUCCAACUGAUGGUUACCAGAAUAUUAAUACAUUGUUUUGCAUUUAUGUUUCCACAAAAUGGAACAGGGAACAGGAUCAGAUGACUUUAUAAUAUAGUAUUAUUAUCAUUGUUAUCAUUACUGUUGCUAAAAAUAAGGUUAUUAUUUCACAACAAAUAAGAUAAAAUAUGGAACAUUUCAGAAGACAUUGGAAGUUUUCCUAACGAGCAUCUCCUUAGUAAAGCCAUACUUCAAAACACUAAGCAGGAAGGCAUAAUUGAGUUCAGUGAUUCCACACCUGAGCAGUGAACCAAACAGAAUAACAAAAUGCCUUAAGCUAAUGAAAAUCUUGUUGUUGAAAACAAUGAAGCCCCAAUGGGGCAUGUGGUAGAAUACUGGGAGCAUUAGGAUCUCUGUCUGCCAAAAUAGCUUGACUAAUAUCCUUAUCCUGAUGAGGUAAACCUAUAGUUCAUUCCCAAGUGCUUUAGGCAAUUGGUAGAAACCUUUGAAAUAGAGACACAGUCUUAAUCUAGGGUGCUGUUUGCUUUCUUAUUCAGUGAUUAUUGAUUACAAAUGUUCCAAAGCAACUUUAUUCCUCUUCAAACAUAUAACAAUAGAAAUGGAAAUAUGUGAUAGAGUAAUUCAAGAGCUUUGCUGAAUAACUCACACUAAAUUAGAUGAUAAAAUACAUAUCCAUCUUAAUGCCCAAGUUAAAAAUCACAGAAUACAAGCUAAUAAAGAUAUUAAAUAACAGGUAGUCUGACCCUGUCUUCUUGUAAACAGGGAGAUACUUGUUCAUCAAGAUCAUGUCUGAUGGCUAAGGUCAUGCAGAUAAAUAUAUACU